rnacentral:misc_RNA from 1 species
CGCACAUUGCACCCUCUGGUAUUCUGGAGGGUAUGCCUGUUUGAGUGUCAUUAAUCUCUCAACACAAGAAAUUUUUGUUUCUUGUGCUUGGAUGUUGAAGGUUUUGCUGGCGCAAACAACUGUCAGCUCCUUUUAAAUGCAUUAGCAGAGCAGUGGUAGGACUGGCCUCAGUUUGAUAAGAAACAUUUAUCUAUGCUGUCGCUAGGUUUCCUCUUUAUGUUCAGCUUCAAACUGUCUUCGGACUGUCUCUCUUGAGGCAAAACAAUUUUUUGAUCGACCUCAAAUCAGGUAUGACUACCCGCUGAACUUAA